GAAAUGCGAUACGCAAUGCGAAUUGCAGAAUCCGCGAGUCAUCAGAUCUUUGAACGCAAGUGGUGGAGGCUAAAACCUUCAUGUUUGUAUCAGUGUGGAAAGGAAUCAUGUAUCUUAAUGCGAUUGAAGGUUUCUUUGAAGCUUUCUCUCGUUAAACAUGGUUGGGUGGUUGGAGAAAUCCACUGCCAAAAACGAAGUAGUCACAGUAAUGUGAACAUUCGUUUUAAUGGCACUAAGGUGUGUUUUUCCUAAUAUACCUCCAAAUAACUUUCUAUCAUCUCAUUACACCUGAUAUAAGCAAGAUUACCCGCUGAACUUAA
rnacentral:misc_RNA from 1 species